UAAAAGCAACUUGUCAUUUCCCCGAAAGUUGCGACACGACGGUCAAAUCUCUUUAAUUAUUUUCCCAAGCGGUGUCAAUGGACCCGGCCCAGUGAUGGACGUGAACCCGAACUACGAUAAAAUACGUUCGUCCGUCGUGAUAACCGCAGUCGACGAUCGUAUGAUAACCGGAUUGCGAGAGACGACGUCCCUUUGAAUUCUGUGCAUCACACUUUCACACUGGUGUGAUGGCACAAGAAACUCGUACCGAUGAUGGCAUGUACAUAAAGCAAGAGACCUCAAGUGUGAUACAUAAUGUGUGUUUUGUUUGUGGAAAUUCUGGACACUCCGAACAGUAUUGGUUACGUGUACGACCGCCAUCCGCUGGACCAUCUGAUGGCACGCCACAUUUUCCAUUUUUGGAAAUGCACGAACCUCCACAAGGUUAUAGACAACCAUUGAAUGCCAAGCAGGAUAGUGCAAUAACAAGUUGUUACUUAUGUUAUUCACUGUUAAUUGGUCAAUGGGAUCGAUACGAAAGAGAAAAUGUCCCAGCUAGGCAACGUGUCUACUGGUUAAAACGCUGUGAUAAUGGUCCAUUUACUGGUGCUGAUCUUUCAACACANGGGGAAUAUGCAUGCCAACUAUUGGGACUCAGUGUUGACUACACUAAUAGUCAUAAGGAUACAAUCAUGUCAUCUGCGAUGUCUCAAAUUACUGGAGAGGAUAGUCGAGGUGCUAGAAUACCACUUACAUCAAUUUCUACAUCAUCUGAUCACAUACCACAACUAAAUGGUUCAAAUCCAAUUAAUACAAAUACACCUCAUUCUAAUCCAGGAAGUUAUAGUAGUAGUAGUGGUACAGAUAUUUUAGAUCUAUCUAUGCCUGAUAAAAAUUCUUCUACUGAAGUUUGCUAUGUAUGCGGAGAAGAAUUNCGACGAGGUUCCUUAUCUCAUGUAUCAGCUAAACCGCCAGCUACUGUUAAUCAAACUGAGCAACCUUUUUUUCCUAGCCUUAUGCUUCAUCCUAGACCUCCUCGUUCUAGGCCAAUGGAUAGUACAGGGCGUGUACAAACAUGUACUGCUUGUCAUGCUCACCUAUUAAAUCAGUGGCAGGUCUAUACGUCAAAAGGCAUUCCUCACGGUGAAAGGAAUUAUAUUUUACGUAAGCGAUUAAUACCAUCAAUAGAUACAUCUACGUUUAUUUGUUUUACCUGUUCACUCGAAUACCCUUCGUCUUCUAUGAGGUCAUUAUAUUGUUAUCCAAAUAAUAUCCGUGAACCUUAUUAUCCAUCAUUGACGAAAAUAAAAACUCCACCUGGUGCACUUCCUAUAUCUUCACAAGGCACAGUCCAAGUUUGUGCAGUUUGUUUUAAAUCUGUACCACAAAAACACCAAGUUACUAUGUUAAUGGAUUUACCUGUUGUUCCAUCGCCUUCUCCAUCUCUUCAAUCAAUUAAAUCACCAGAUAUUCGUUUUCGGCCUUAUGAUAUAACAAAACCAAAUAAAUCACAAACACCAACACCAUCUGAAGCACAUCGUAGUACACAUACGGUUAGUUCUGAUGUAUCUGGUAAUGGAGGUCCAGUUCGUAUCAUGAGUGGUAAUAACUUUCGUUGUUAUGUAUGCUAUGAAAUGCAACAUCGUUCACAGUUGGAAUGGUUAUGUACAAAUGCAGAAGGAAUGAAUUCGCAUGCUAUGCAUUUUCCAUGUCUUACUCAAUUAUCAAGAUCAUCAGAAAAUUAUUGCGUUGAAUCCCAAGGUAGAGUAUUAGCCUGUUCUAAGUGUGUUUCACAGCUAUCUGCCCAAUGGAAUUCUAUGGAAGCCAACAGGGUCCCUUUAGAACAUAGGAGGUAUAACGUUUCUGGUUUGAAUGCUAAUGGUUAUAAUACUCAACAAAUAUCUAGUCGAAAUGAUGUUUCGUCCAUUUAUUGUUUCUUAUGCAACCACCACUCAGAUUUAACUUAUGCCAGAGUUUUAUACAGCCGUCCACAAGGUCGAAAUGCACCAUAUUUCCCAUAUCUUUUAAAACACGAAACUACACAAGGUGCAGAACAAUUGCGUGAAGAUGGAUCUGCAUUAGUUUGUACAUUUUGUUACCAUGCUUAUGUUGCUCAGUGGCGAGAUUAUGAAUCNAGUUCCAUACCAAUUCCUCAGCAUGAAAGAAGUUAUAACCAUAAGGAAUAUGUAUGUUACGUUUGUACACAAAGAGGUGGACGUCGGCAUAUUCGAUCACUUGCAGUUAAUGACUAUCCCUUUCUACGCUAUCAUCGUCAAAUUGACCAAGCAUUAUUACUAGAAAAUGGAGAGUUUGCAGUUGUUUGUGUUGAAUGUUAUGAAACUAUACAUAUACAAGCUAUUGAAUAUGAACGGUUUGGUAUGCCAUUAGAUAAACAAAGUCUUCAAAAUACUAAUACAGUUAAAAUGGUGAAGCAAGAAGACAAUUAUAGUCAACGAGUACCACAAAAUAUGACAGUUGAAAAAGCACAGGUAAAUCAGACUAAUAAAGUUCAGCGAAAAAAUGUUAAACAACAACAACAACAACAAACUGCUGUUGAAAGUACAAAACGUUCAAUGUUAAAUUCUAAUCAUUACAGCUCCAAAACAGAUUCAGGUUUAGUUAAACCUCAACCAACAAGUUCAGGUUCAAAACGUACUUUAAUACCAAAUCUUAUUGGACAAGCUCCACCGCCACCAUCUCCUGGUGGUAGAUCAUUUGCUGCCGCUCUUAGAAAUUUAGCUAAACAAGCCGGACCCCCUUCUACUCAUUCUAAUGAUAAAGAAGGAAUCGAGUCCCAAGAGAAACACCAGCAAGAAUCUUUAAAAGGACGAAUUACUCUUCCAGGCUGUAAUAAAUCACAACCAGAUAAUGAAUCAAGAUCAACUUGCCUAAAUACUGAGCCUCGUAGUGGUUUUCAACCUUAUAAGCCUGAUGAACAAAGAACUAUGAUACCUACAUCAGCAUCUGCACCUCCUCCUCAUUUUUCCGUUGACCCUGCCUCAUACUCACCUUACCAUCCUGCAAAUCUUUAUUCUCCACAUUUUCAACAUGCUUUUCGGAUUGAAGAACAAAUGUACCUUGAAAGAUGUGGAGUACCUUUGUUUCCUACUUCACCGUAUCACCCUCAUAAUAGUCCUCAUCCCUCAGCUUUAUAUGGACUUCAUCAUUUACAGUCACCAUUAGUCAUGUCCCCAAGUAUCGUAGAUAGAAUGAAAAUGGAAGAAGACAGGCUACAAAGAGAUAGAGACAUGCAAGAGCGAGAAAAAAGAGACAAGGCAAAGCAACAACAGCGAGUUAAAAAUGUUCAUACUAUGGCAGCUGACCUUUCUGGAAGGCGUCAUUNAUGUCCAUUAUUAGUCAUACAACUAAACCUCAAUUUAUAUGUCUUUCGNGAACAUCAUAAUGUCAAAUUCAUCAAAAAUAACAAAGUUACAGUUACCAAAAUCAAACCACCUAUGUAAUCAAGUGAUACCCAGUCAAAAUAACAAAAAAUCAACAAGCUUCAAAANUCUUAUUAUGUGUUUCUUAUACUCCUGAGGUCCAAACUUCUAAUUCUUNUAAAUACUAUAUGGCAAUUAUUUCAACCUACUUUACAUUCAACAAGUACUGAAUUAGAAUAUAUUUGAUAAUAAACUACAAUCAACAGCAAUGGGAAAUAAAAAAAUUAUAAUUCUUUUUUUCUCAAUAUGCCAGAAACGACAUCUAUAUAUCAACAGCACAAGAUUGCUAGCUGAUUAAAUGUACGGUCUUUGUAAUUGGUAGAGAAAAUCGAGAAAAUAAUGUUUGAUGUUUAGUUAAAUAUUUUUUUCAAUCAUGUCACAAAUUCUACCUGAUUAUUCCCAAUUGCUCAAAAGGAACUCUUUGUUUUUUCUAUGUAUUUGGCAUUUGAGCAAAUCGAAUGACAUAAUCACAUCACCCCUAUUGAUUACAUUUUGUUUUACCAUUUUUUUUUUUUAUAUAUAUAUAUUUAAUUUAGAGAAUAUUUUUUU
rnacentral:misc_RNA from 1 species